UCUAUUAUUUUAAGAUUGAUAUGUAAUGCUUUGGAGGAAUCAAUAUGCAUUAACUGGGCUGGCACUCUCUAUCAGUCCCCUGUAGAUGGCAUGUUCUGUCCAUAAUAAGACUCCACCUAGCAAGUUAAACUGUUGAGUAGGUGAAUACAGAAAAUCAUUGGUUCUAUUUAACAGGGUAUGGGGUUUAUUUCAAAAUGUAUUACCAGGGUGGAGGAAAUCAUAUAAGGCUUCAUAAUUUUAUUGGUUAGGGUAACCCAUCUAGUAACCUCCUCUACACCAGCGUUGAGCAAAAGACGACGAGACCUGCCCAUAUCAGACCCUUACUGUGAGCUGCCCAGGAGACACAUCAUCAGAGAACAAAAGAGAAGGAUGCUUGUUUUUGUCAGCGCGAUGCGUGAAGAAAUCAGCUGGCUGCACAGACUCUGAUAGUCUCUCUAGUGAGCCAUGUUUCCGUGAAGCAAAUACCGUUACAGUCUCUGAUGUCUCUCUGGAAGGCUACCCUUGUUUGGAUUUCAUUAACCUUGUUGUCAAGAGACUGGACAUUGGCGAGUAGUAUGCUAGGGAGUGGUGCACGAUGUGCCCGUCUCCGGAGCCAGACCAGAAGAACACUUCGUUUGCCCCUUUUACGACAUCAUUGUUUUGGGUCGCCUGCUGGGAUCCGAUCCAUUGCAAGGCAGAAGGCAGAACAGAACACAGGAUCCGGGAAAGUCAUAUUCCUGGUCGUAAUGAUGGAACGCGAAGCGAGGCGCCAUAACUGUCGGCGCCAGAAGUCUGAAAUCUACCAGGAACCUAUAUCUGGGGGCACUGAUGGGACCACAGAUGACAAAUGAUGGCUACUAUAGUCUUAUCUACCCAUAAACACCAUGUAGGGGGAAUUAAUUGCUGUAGCUCAUGACAUUUGAAAGCAAGGUAGAAGGAAAAACAGCUCAUUAUGAAAGGAUACCCAGCUAGCCCAUUUGGUUCCGUGGAAGUUGUGGGAACGUAGAUUUUUUGUUGACAUUGGUUGUGGAAACGAUGCAAUAAGUUUACUGACCAGUAAAACAAUAUUUUUUAAACGUUAUGGGAACAUUUCUUUUUAGGUUGCUGAGAGGUUCUGAGAACAUUUUACUCUGGUUUCCUGGGAGGUUUUAUUAAUGCUCUAAGAAUGAAAAUUAUUGAUUAUUUUGAGGUUUUUGAAUAACUUCCAAUUAAUGUUUUAUUUAGACUUUUAAUAACAUGUCUAGCUUAUUUUGGUUUAACUUCAUUAUACUACAAGCACAGAUACUGUAGGACACAUGUCAAUUAUUUUCCUUAGGUAUUAAUCAUGUGAACAUCAGUGAGGUUCAAACCUAUGAUUUUCUGUUCUCUAUCCAUGGGAUUAUCCCAGUGCGCCACCAGGAUGAAGCUAG